rnacentral:lncRNA from 1 species
CCUCAGUUCCUGUAAUACCCAUGGCUACUCCAAUGUCAGCAAGUUUUAGUGCAGGUGCAUCAUUGACGCCAUCUCCAGUCAUUGCAACUACUUCACCCAUCUCCUUCAGAAUCCUUACAAUUUCUUGUUUGUGCCUGGGUUCAGCACGAGAAAAUACCUUGCCUCCAUCUUGUGACAAUAUCUCAAUUUGUUGCUGAGAAGAAAGUGCCAUGAAUUAUUUGCCAGUAAAACUACUUCCCCUAAGAUUCUCACCAUGAGAAAACAACUGAAUUCCCUACAAACGGCCUCAGCAGUGGAUUUAUUGUCUCCAGUUAUAACCAUGAUUUUGAUCCCAGCUCUUCUGCAGUCAUUUACCGCCUUGUGAACUUCCUCACGUGGUGGGUCCUGGUUUUUAGUUUUUUUGUCAAACUAUAAGGAAAAUGAAGGUUUUCUAGAUUCAUUAUUCUUGAAAACUUAACACUACUCAUCCUUAGUCCAACAACUCCCACAAAAACUAUAUCACUUUCAAUGGAACAGUAGCAGGACGGAUCAAGCAGCUUCUUGUGGGCAGGAUGAGUCUCAGCAUUGCAUCCUGAAAGCUCACCUAAGUCAUCUUUAUAUGCCAAGCCCAAGCACCGCAGACCCCCUGAGCUCAUCUCCAAGAGCCUCGACAACAAUAGUUGCCUACAAGACUCGUCAAUUGGAACAGUUGACCUAUCUGUAAGUUGAACGUGUGUACUACAUUCUAGCAAACUCUCAACAGAACUCUAGACAAAACAUGUUUUAAUCAGAUGUCCAGAUAUUACCAAACUCAACUUCUGUGACAGAGUUCAACACAUCAAAAACGCCUAACCAUUUCCUUGAUUAAAUAUCAUAUUGUGGAGCUGGACUUCACAGAAGAAUUGUUUGCACAAAGGACAUAUAACACUUCAAACUGUUGGUGUGGAUUUUUUUACUUUUGGAAACUGAAGAACGUUAAAAAAUAGUUAAACGGACACAACAUCUUGUAAAGGAACAACAUUGAACCUACUUCUAUAGAUAAAGAUAAUACCGAUUCAGUUGCUUGCCAAUUGAAAUUUCCGAGGCAUAUACAGCCCACAACACACCAACAAGAUUACUAGAAUUAGACUAAAAAUAAGAAUUUUUAUGGCAAAUAGAGUAUAUCGAAGCCAGCAGACAAAUAAAAAAAAAUAUUUUAGAGACCAAUUAUCUCUAGUGUCUAAUGUAGUUCAGACAACAGUUAUUAAAAAAAAGCGCAAUUGCACUCGACUCCAUUGCUAUUGCUGACAUGAAACAACCUUGACAAGUCCCAUUUGGAUCCCGCACAAUAACACCCAUGGAUUUACGAACACAAUCAAAUUGACCCUUUUCGAUCUUUUCAUCCACCAAUCACAGCAUCCUAUAUUAAAAAAUAUUGAUACGCUAGUUCGAAAAUAGUAGCAAAUAGAUAGAUGGAUGAAGUAAAAGUAUGCUCACCUAAUUUAACUGUGUUGCGAUCGGUCCAACAGCUCGAUACAAUCUAUGCGUCCCGGAUCUUGCUCCUUACUUUGCUAUCUGGUACUCUCAUCUUUUCCACCAAAACUUUGAGAGCUGCCUCAGUAGGCAAUCCAGUUGCUUUGAGCACACGAGUCACGACCAUCACAGAAGAUCCCAGCAUCAUUGCAGAUUGCACAUAUUUCAGCAUGAGUAGCAAGGUAGCAUCCAUAUUAUAGUAAUUCCAGUCCAUUAUUAAGCCAUCCUUAGGAUCGUAAGUUGUCCCUUUGACACCAAAAACUCAACAGGCUGUGGUUUUUCCUCCCAAUGUGAAGAAGUCUGACACAGACAUCUGAUUGGUAGUCAAGGUUCCUGUUUUAUCUGAACAUAUCACAGUGGUGCAUCCUAAGGUUUCCACGCUUGGAAGUUUCUGCACUACUUGCGUUCUUUUGUGCCAUUUUCCUUGUACCAAGAGAUAAGCAAGCAGUAAUAACAGCAGGACAGCUAUCGUAAAAUAAUAUGUGCAUUUCUUAAAUAAGUAACGAAAAUCUAAUUUGGCCUUGCUGAGCCUUCACCCCUGUUACGAAGCUGUGAUAGUUCAACAAGUGUGUGGCCGUCACUCACAAGAUUAUUUCCUAGAAAAGAAGCCUGGGUGUACCACACUAUAAAUAUGCCGACAGUUGCAAUGCCCACAUAAGAACCAAUGAGCUGAAAAUUAUCUCAGAAAUCAGAAUGUAAGAUGCUGCUUAGCUUGUCGAGAAGUCUGUUCAAUAUGUUGAAGAAAAGAUAAAAUAUGAUAAAAAGAUAUAGUUGGUUACUUAGACAAAGAGCAUCUCAUUUCUCUCUUUGAUUCAUCGAUUUCUUUUACUAGGCAGCUUAUGUUAUCAUGAUCCAGAAGAUAAUAGUCUUUGCUUACGAAGGGAGGUGAUCCAGAUGGGUAAACAUAUUUUCCUUGAUUGCACAUAUUACUUUUCGUAAUAAGCUGAAAGUAAAGAUGAUUUUAUACAGCAUAAGAGGGGUUAUCCACCACGGCUAGGGAAAUGCUGCAGUAAUCAUAGUCUGUACCAUUGGUUCUUCUAAUCAAAUGAGUCAUUCUCAGCAUUAGUACUUUCUACACGUACUUAGGAGAACAAAGUACAAUAAAAACUUGGGAAAAAAGGAAAGAGACGAAGUAGUUUUAUUUCAAACCAUUGGAGAAAAACGAAGAAUUAAUAUAGCUUACAACAACAUAACCAGUGUGAUGGAAUCUAGGGAGGAUAAGAUGUACACAGGGUAGGAUGUAUGAAGACCUUACCCCUACCUUUGUAGAGUGGUUGUUUUUCUGAAAGUCCCUUGCUCAGAAGGACAGUAUCUGAUGCAGGAUUGUAAGAAAAGAGACAGCAAAGUAGCAAAGUACAAAACAAAUGCAGUAACAUUAGCAAUACACAUCGAAGAAUAAGAAACAGCGAUCCAAACUGACCAUAUAACAGAAGAAAACCCAGGAGUUUAUGAGAGCAUCAUUGCUCUUCCUAGGUGGUUUCUGCAUUAUAUCAACAUCGGUAGGGCUAAAUCCGAGAGCUGCAGCAGGUGGACCAUCUGUUACCAAAUUUACCCUGAGCAACUGCACAGGUAUCAAACAUUAUGGAAUGCCCAAACCAGCAGUCAAGAAAAUGGAGAUGACCUCACCAACAUUGGAUGAUAUCAUAUAUCUGCAUCAGCAAAGAAUACAUAUGAUAUUAAGUAAAAUAAAUGCAUGACUAAUUGUAGGAAUAAUCAAACAUUCACUUCCCGAAAUACAAUACUAACCUGAUGAAGGCCUUCAUGUUAUUGUACAUCGCACGUCCCUCUGCAACAGCAGAGAGUAUAGUACUGAAAUUGUCAUCUACCAGAACCCUAUCAGAAGCUUCUUUUGUAACCUAAACAUAUUAGUCUUUGAUUAGCUAAUUAAUUAAAUGACCAAUGAGUUCACAUAUGCAGAAAAAAUUCGCAUGCAAGGUGCACAAUCAUGGCUACUUCUUGAGAUUUAGAUAAUAAACUGUCACAGCAUGGCGAGUAAUCCCUCAGAAGACCUCACUACUCUCCUAUUUCAAAACUGUAUGUUAGGUAUUACAUGGUUAAAUAACUGGUUGGAGAGCACUAACGCAAGUAUGUAACACAAAAAUGAGUUGUAACGACCACACCGGAAAAGAUUAUUUCACCUCAGUUCCUAUAAUGCCCAUAGCUAUUCCAAUGUCAGCAAGUUUUAGUGCAGGUGCAUCAUUGACGCCAUCUCCAGUCAUUGCAAUUACUUCACCCAUCUCCUUCAGAAUCCUUACAAUUUCUUGUUUGUGCCUGGGUUCAGCACGAGAAAAUACCUUGCCUCCAUCUUGUGACAAUAUCUCAAUUUGUUGCUGAGA